rnacentral:rRNA from 1 species
UGGGAAUAUUGACAAUGGGCGCAAGCCUGAUCCAGCCAUGCCGCGUGAGUGAUGAAGGGCCCUAGGGUUGUAAAGCNCUUUCGCCAGGGACGAUAAUGACGGUACCUGGAUAAGAAGCCCCGGCUAACUUCGUGCCAGCAGCCGCGGUAAUACGAAGGGGGCUAGCGUUGUUCGGAAUCACUGGGCGUAAAGCGCACGUAGGCGGAUCUUUAAAGUCAGGGGUGAAAUCCCCGAGGCUCAACCUCGGAACUGCCUUUGAUACUGGAGGUCUCGAGUCCGGGAGAGGUGAGUGGAACUGCGAGUGUAGAGGUGAAAUUCGUAGAUAUUCGCAAGAACACCAGUGGCGAAGGCGGCCUCACUGGCCCGGUACUGACGCUGAGGUGCGAAAGCGUGGGGAGCAAAACAGGAUUAGAUACCCUGGUAGUCCACGCCGUAAACUAUGGAUNCUGCCGUUGGGCAGCUUGCUGUUCAGUGGCGCAGCUAACGCUUUAAGCAUCCCGCCUGGGGAGUACGGUCGCAAGNUUAAAACUCAAAUGAAUUGACGGGGUC